rnacentral:rRNA from 1 species
GGUUAAGCGACUAAGCGUACACGGUGGAUGCCUAGGCAGUCAGAGGCGAUGAAGGGCGUGCUAAUCUGCGAAAAGCGUCGGUAAGCUGAUAUGAAGCGUUAUAACCGACGAUACCCGAAUGGGGAAACCCAGUGCAAUACGUUGCACUAUCGUUAGAUGAAUACAUAGUCUAACGAGGCGAACCGGGGGAACUGAAACAUCUAAGUACCCCGAGGAAAAGAAAUCAACCGAGAUUCCCCCAGUAGCGGCGAGCGAACGGGGAGGAGCCCAGAGUCUGAAUCAGUUUGUGUGUUAGUGGAAGCGUCUGGAAAGUCGCACGGUACAGGGUGAUAGUCCCGUACACCAAAAUGCACAGGCUGUGAACUCGAUGAGUAGGGCGGGACACGUGACAUCCUGUCUGAAUAUGGGGGGACCAUCCUCCAAGGCUAAAUACUCCUGACUGACCGAUAGUGAACCAGUACCGUGAGGGAAAGGCGAAAAGAACCCCGGCGAGGGGAGUGAAAUAGAACCUGAAACCGUGUACGUACAAGCAGUGGGAGCACCUUCGUGGUGUGACUGCGUACCUUUUGUAUAAUGGGUCAGCGACUUAUAUUUUGUAGCAAGGUUAACCGAAUAGGGGAGCCGUAGGGAAACCGAGUCUUAACUGGGCGUCUAGUUGCAAGGUAUAGACCCGAAACCCGGUGAUCUAGCCAUGGGCAGGUUGAAGGUUGGGUAACACUAACUGGAGGACCGAACCGACUAAUGUUGAAAAAUUAGCGGAUGACUUGUGGCUGGGGGUGAAAGGCCAAUCAAACCGGGAGAUAGCUGGUUCUCCCCGAAAGCUAUUUAGGUAGCGCCUCGUGAACUCAUCUUCGGGGGUAGAGCACUGUUUCGGCUAGGGGGCCAUCCCGGCUUACCAAACCGAUGCAAACUCCGAAUACCGAAGAAUGUUAUCACGGGAGACACACGGCGGGUGCUAACGUCCGUCGUGAAGAGGGAAACAACCCAGACCGCCAGCUAAGGUCCCAAAGUCAUGGUUAAGUGGGAAACGAUGUGGGAAGGCACAGACAGCCAGGAUGUUGGCUUAGAAGCAGCCAUCAUUUAAAGAAAGCGUAAUAGCUCACUGGUCGAGUCGGCCUGCGCGGAAGAUGUAACGGGGCUAAACCAUGCACCGAAGCUGCGGCAGCGACACUUAGGUGUUGUUGGGUAGGGGAGCGUUCUGUAAGCCGUUGAAGGUGACCUGUGAGGGUUGCUGGAGGUAUCAGAAGUGCGAAUGCUGUACAUAAGUAACGAUAAUGCGGGUGAAAAACCCGCACGCCGGAAGACCAAGGGUUCCUGUCCAACGUUAAUCGGGGCAGGGUGAGUCGACCCCUAAGGCGAGGCUGAAAAGCGUAGUCGAUGGGAAACAGGUUAAUAUUCCUGUACUUGGUGUUACUGCGAAGGGGGGACGGAGAAGGCUAGGCUGGCCGGGCGACGGUUGUCCCGGUUUAAGCGUGUAGGGGGAGUGACCAGGUAAAUCCGGUUGCUUAUCAACCCUGAGGCGUGAUGACGAUGCACCACGGUGCAGAAGCAGUUGAUGCCAUGCUUCCAGGAAAAGCCUCUAAGCAUCAGGUAACAUUAAAUCGUACCCCAAACCGACACAGGUGGUCAGGUAGAGAAUACUCAGGCGCUUGAGAGAACUCGGGUGAAGGAACUAGGCAAAAUGGUGCCGUAACUUCGGGAGAAGGCACGCUGGCGUUAGGUGAAAGGACUAGCUCCUGGAGCUGAAGCCAGUCGCAGAUACCAGCUGGCUGCAACUGUUUAAUAAAAACACAGCACUGUGCAAACACGAAAGUGGACGUAUACAGUGUGACGCCUGCCCGGUGCUGGAAGGUUAAUUGAUGGGGUCAGCCGCAAGGCGAAGCUCUUGAUCGAAGCCCCAGUAAACGGCGGCCGUAACUAUAACGGUCCUAAGGUAGCGAAAUUCCUUGUCGGGUAAGUUCCGACCUGCACGAAUGGCGUAAUGAUGGCCAGGCUGUCUCCACCCGAGACUCAGUGAAAUUGAACUCGCUGUGAAGAUGCAGUGUACCCGCGGCAAGACGGAAAGACCCCGUGAACCUUUACUAUAGCUUGACACUGAACAUUGAGCCUUGAUGUGUAGGAUAGGUGGGAGGCCUUGAAGUGUGGACGCCAGUCUGCAUGGAGCCAACCUUGAAAUACCACCCUUUAAUGUUUGAUGUUCUAACUCGGCCCCAUGAUCUGGGGUGAGGACAGUGUCUGGUGGGUAGUUUGACUGGGGCGGUCUCCUCCCAAAGAGUAACGGAGGAGCACGAAGGUUAGCUAAUCACGGUCGGACAUCGUGAGGUUAGUGCAAAGGCAUAAGCUAGCUUGACUGCGAGAGUGACGGCUCGAGCAGGUACGAAAGUAGGUCUUAGUGAUCCGGUGGUUCUGAAUGGAAGGGCCAUCGCUCAACGGAUAAAAGGUACUCCGGGGAUAACAGGCUGAUACCGCCCAAGAGUUCAUAUCGACGGCGGUGUUUGGCACCUCGAUGUCGGCUCAUCACAUCCUGGGGCUGAAGUAGGUCCCAAGGGUAUGGCUGUUCGCCAUUUAAAGUGGUACGCGAGCUGGGUUUAGAACGUCGUGAGACAGUUCGGUCCCUAUCUGCCGUGGGCGUUGGAAGAUUGAGAGGGGCUGCUCCUAGUACGAGAGGACCGGAGUGGACGAAUCACUGGUGUUCGGGUUGUCAUGCCAAUGGCAUUGCCCGGUAGCUAAAUUCGGAAGAGAUAACCGCUGAAAGCAUCUAAGCGGGAAACUUGCCUCGAGAUGAGUCUUCCCUGGGGCUUAAAGCCCCCUGAAGGAACGUUAAAGACUAUGACGUUGAUAGGCUGGGUGUGUAAGUGCAGCGAUGUAUUGAGCUAACCAGUACUAAUGAUCCGUGAGGCUUAACCUU